rnacentral:rRNA from 1 species
CGGGGCGCGUUCUCGGGAGGCAGCAGNUCUACGGGAGGCAGCAGUCUACGGUGNAGCGCNANUCAGGUCUACGGGCAGGCUUUUUUACUACGNAGAAGGGNAUAAUACAUGUAUUAUUUUGCCGGUACCGUACGAAUAAGCAUCGGCUAACUCCGUGCCAGCAGCCCGCGGUAAUAANNNA